rnacentral:rRNA from 1 species
UACGGGAGGCAGCAGUGAGGAAUAUUGGUCAAUGGGCGCGAGCCUGAACCAGCCAAGUAGCGUGCAGGAUGACGGCCCUAUGGGUUGUAAACUGCUUUUAUGCGGGGAUAAAGUGCGGCACGUGUGCCGUUUUGUAGGUACCGCAUGAAUAAGGACCGGCUAAUUCCGUGCCAGCAGCCGCGGUAAU